GCGUAGUAGAUUGUAGUCAAUGAUGCACAUAUAACCUGCGUUUAGAAAACGUAUGUUUAUAACAAAUAUCCCAAGAACGAAACACACUUCUAUACCUCUUUACCAUAUAACUGCAAUGUUGCACUUCGAAGAAGCAACAUGCGACGUUGCCGCUUCUUCUCGUACGAAAGAUAACUCGCAUACUGGAUUACAACACGACAAGAAUUUGGAAUACUACGUUUAAUAGCUUUUGUAUACGAUCUUUUUCUAUAUUUAUACGUAUUUCCUAUGAUUAAUAUUAAUAAUACAUUUCUAUUAUUAGACAUUUUUUUUGCCUCAUAUGAGUAUGUAUAAGAUACAAUAAAAAGAAGAGACAUAUAUUUAUGCAUUAUAAACAUGUAUCAAAGAGAAUAUACAAAUAAAUUGAUUAAGUCGCGGCAAUGAAUAUAUUAUUUUCCUCAUUUUGUAUUACAAAUUGUACGAAUAUCGAUCAUAUAAAAAAAUGAAGAAAUACAAAGUAAAAUCUUAAAGUUAGAAUUCUUUUUCUCUGAUCUAUUUGAUGAAAGAACUAUAGAAACACGAAACUGCAAAAGAAAAAAAAAGAAAAAAGAGAUAAAGAAUUUACUCAUUUUAUUUUUUAGAUAUGAUUAAACGAUAACCAAAAAUAUUUCAGGAAUGUGAGUCGACAAUUUUCUACACGCACAGCAAAUAGUUACUUACAUGCAUUUAUAAAUGUUUCUCAACACAUACACAUUUAGGCAUAUGCUAAUUACAAAAAUUAUUAAGUAUAAUUAAUGAAUAUGUUAAAAAAUACUUGAAUAUUUUAGAGCAUAAAAAGAAAUUAUAUGAAAAAAAUUAUUAAUAAACCAUGCUGUCUUAACUUGAAAGUUAACUUUGAGUUCUAGUAUAAUCAUAAAUCUAUUUAAAAAAACAAGAAAGAAUCAAUUUACAUACAUAAUAGAAUUCAUAUGAAUAUAUAUAAUGAUUUUUUAUCUUUCAUGUAAAUGUGUAUGUGUAAUAAAU